rnacentral:misc_RNA from 1 species
UUAAGUUCAGCGGGUAUCCCCACCUGAUCCGAGGCCAACCUUUUGAGAUGGUUCGGGGCGGCCGCCAUAGGGCACUCCGAGCGAGGGAUUUCUCUUGCUACGCUCAGGGCCUUACGGAGGCGCCCACGGGUUUCGGGCCGUCCCUGAGGACGGGGCCCAUCGCAGAGCAGGGCUCCAGGGUUGAAAUGGCGCUCGAACAG